GAUGAAGAACGUAGCGAAAUGCGAUAAGUAAUGUGAAUUGCAGAAUUCAGUGAAUCAUCGAAUCUUUGAACGCACAUUGCGCCCGCUAGUAUUCUGGCGGGCAUGCCUGUCCGAGCGUCAUUUCAACCCUCAAGCCCCCGGGCUUGGUGUUGGGGAUCGGCGAGCCUCCGCGCCCGCCGUCCCCUAAAUCUAGUGGCGGUCUCGCUGUAGCUUCCUCUGCGUAGUAGCACACCUCGCACUGGGAAACAGCGCGGCCACGCCGUUAAACCCCCAGCUUCUGAACGUUUGACCUCGGAUCAGGUAGGAAUACCCGCUGAACUUAAGCAUAUCAAUAAGCGGAGGA
rnacentral:misc_RNA from 1 species